CUGAAAUUUUGCACAUGUUUGUUUUGCGUUUGUUGUUGCGUAGUUUAAGAAACAUGCCGAAAGUGACUUACAUGCAAAAUUUCCGCGAUUCGUGGUUAAAUUUUGAAGAAUUUAAGCAGUGGCUACGCAAAGGGCCAACCGACUCCACAAAAGCGUACUGCUGCUUUUGUAAGGUAUCGAUUGGGGCCAAGUUAUUUGAGAUACGGCAGCAUGCUCAAGCUAAGAAACAUAUUGCGUGCAUUGCAAGCGUGGCACAAAAUCAUACAAUACAUUUUGGUAGACAGCCCACAAAAACAGAGGAGCAGGAGGUUGCACUGGCGUUAUUUGCUUUGCACAUUCUUUCACUGCCAUGGUCGAAUGCUGCGGUUGAGAGGGUAUUCAGCCAAAUGAACAUGGUCAAAACAAAGUUGCGCAACAAAAUGAAUUUAAAAAGCUUGAACGCAAUUUUAAGAAUAAGAUAUGGACUGCGACGUCAUGGCAAAUGUUGCCAUGACUACAUACUUCCAACGAAAUACCUCGCUUUAGUCAGCUCAUCCGCUAAAUAUAUGGAAUCGAAUGAUGAAGUCGAUGAAAUUAUUUCUUUGCUCUAAUAGCUAUAUAAAUAUAAUAUCAAUAAAAGUAAAAAAUCAACUA